GCAACAUAGGGCCGGAGAGUUAAAACAUUAAAGGAAAAUAAAAUAAGCUACACUUUUGCAGAAAUGCAUUUGAGGGGCAUAUCAUAAGUUUUUGUAGAAUCAGAAAUGUAUACCUGGGGCAUAUCUAUUUUACAAAUGUAGUGCCCUGGAGGCAUUUCUUACUGUCUUUUCCCCCACAAGUCCAACAACUUGCUAAAUGCUGCUCCUGCUUCCUCCUGCACAACUUCUCUUGGAUGUGAUACUUGCAUCUUUGAUGCCAAGUUAAUUAUCCAAAUUCCAGUUGUUUCUCACUUGUGUUAUGGUAUAUAUCCUAAUGUUCCUGCCUGUUUUGUUCUCAUUUCAGGAAGUUUUAGGAUCUUGUAUCUCAUUUUUCUUACAGUAGCAUGUACUGUCUUAAUUCAUUUUUUUGAUUAGGCUUCUCUAACUUUCCAUGUCAUACACACCUAUUUAGUGUGAUUUGAAGACAAAGGAUAUAUUAUGCUCUAGUAUAAUUUAUUUAUAGCUGACUUUCAUUCUUCUAAUCACUGAACCAGUUAUUUCUUUUGGAAGUAUAUUUGACACAAAUGUGAGAUCAAUCUCUUGUGCCUUGAUAUUUGCUUGGAUUAUGUCUUUAGUCUCAGGUUUUUAUUUUUUCCAUCACAGCUGGUUUACAGUGUUCUGUCAACUUUCUACUGUAUAGCAAGGUGACCCAGUCAUACAUACAUAUGUACAUUCUUUUUCUCACAUUUUCAUGCUCCAUCAUAAGUGAGUAGAUAUAGUUCCCAGUGCUAUACAUCAGGAUUUCAUUGCUUAUCCAUUCCAAAGGCAAUAGUUGGCAUUUAUGAACCCCCAAAAUUCUCAGUCCAUCCCACUCCCUCCUCUUCCCCCUUGGCAACCACAAGUCUCUUCUCCAUGUCCAUGAUUUUCUUUUCUGUGAAAAGGUUCAUUUGUGCCAUAUAUUAGAUUCCAGAUAUAAGUGAUAUCAUAUGGUAUUUGUCUUUCUCUUUCUGACUUACCUUAGUAUAAGAGUCUCUAGUUCCAUCCAUGUUGCUGCAAAUGGCAUUAUUUUGUUGUUUUUAUGGCUGGGUAGUAUUCCACUGUGUAUAUAUACCACAUCUUCUUAAUUAAAAAAAUACAAAGUAUUCAAUGAAAGAAAAGAUAAUCUACAAGUGCCAGGAAUUGAGAGAAAUAAAGGCAGAGUUUUAAAUGGAAGCCAUGCCGAUGAAAAUUCACAUAGGUUUUAGGCAUCAUACAGGCCCUAUGGGCUGAGAAUUUUAUACCUACAUAAGGAUGAGAGCCAUGUCAUUUGAUCUACAUACGCUGGAGAGCUGCUACUGAGUACCUAGCUUAAAAAACAAACAAAAACAACUUCUUUGAAAAUCGUACUCUCCUUGCAAAAAUAGGACUAGAAACAUCCUGCACCAGCCUUGGGAAGGAGAUUGAAAGUUUGCUCUCUGUUUGGAACUCUAAGUGGAAAAAAAUACUAGUGAGAAACUGAAACCCAAAGUUUAUGCCAAAUGGGGUCACAAUUGAUAUUUCCUAAAUGGUAUGGGAAAUACAAGCUGAGAAAAUGAAAUAAAAGCUAGUCGAUGGCUAUUAAAAUCUAUUGUAUUCUGUCAGAAAAAAAGUACUAAAUUGAUCUGUCAGGAUAAUUUCACAACUCAGGGACCAUACAACUCAUGGAAAAUACAAACUGAUUGAAGGUAAACUUACAAUCAAAAGUUACAAACUACUUUAGCAAAUGAACCAUUAUGAGGGAGAGUAAGAAGGCAUAGCAAAUAGGAGGAGCAAACACUCUCAAGAAUAGAAAAUAAUAAGCAAUCUGUAAGAGAUUAUAAAUAAGUAUAUUUAAGUUGUUUAAAACAUAAAGAUGGAACAGAAACCACAAUGAAAAAAGAAUAUGAUAAAGUAUAAAAAGAUAAGUUUAAUAUAUAAGGAGACGUAGAAAUUGUGGUUUAUUUGAGGAAAUCAUCUCAGUGAAGUAAAGACUAGCACAGAGAAAUAAAGAUAUGAAUGAUAAUAAAAAGCAGUUGACAGAAAUAAAGGAUAGAACAUGGAGAUUAAAUAUAUAUGUCAUGGGAAUCUCAGUGAUGAAAAUAGAGAAAAUGGAAAAAUAACAAUAUUAAAAUAAUUUAUUGGUUGAGAAUUUACCUAAUGUAAAGAAGACAAGCUAUGAAAUCAAAAUAGCAUAGAAUAAAAUCAGGUUCCCACCCAGAAAUAUCAGUGAAAUUAUAGAAUUUGAAGUAACUUCUGUGGCCCAGUGGGCUAAGAAUCUGACUGCAGAGGCUUAGGUUGCUGUGGAAGUGCAGAUUAGAUCCCUGACUAGGCACAAUGGGUUAAAAGGAUCCGGUGUUGGAGAAGCUGUUGUGUAGGUCACAGUUGCAGCUCAGAUUCAGUCCAUAUGCAAUGGGUGCAGCCAUAAAUAUAUAUAUAUAUGUAUAUGGAAUACAAAAGGCAAAGAAAUAUUAAAAACAACCAGUGAGAAGGACUAAUUAUGUACAAAGUAUCAUUCAAGUCUGAGGAAAUAAUUAAAGACAUUUUAAGAUAGAUAAGAAUUCAGAGUAUACCACUCGUCAUCCACUGAAAAGAGAAUUAUUAGAAGACAUUUAAACCGAGAAGAAAGAAAGGGAAUGUGAGAAGCAAAUGGAAUCAAAGAAGUUGGUGAAUAUGUGGCUUAACCUAAAUAAAGAAUUCAUGUUUUAAAAUGCUUAAAUUUUGGAAGGUUUAAAAAUAAAGUGGAAUUGAAAUACCAGAUAAAAAUAACAUGAAAGAUGGGAAAGAAGAGUUCAGAGUUGUUUUUUAUGGUUCUUGUAUAUAAUGGUGCUGGAUAAAGAUAUUAUUUUUCUUAUGUUAAAUUUGUAUGCUAAGUUUUUUUUUUUGGUAUAACUACUAGAAGAAUAGAAAUAGAUAUGUAAUACAAAAUAAUAGAAGUGGAAAAAAUAGAUUACCUGAGUAACUUGAUUAUGCCAAGGAUAAAUAUAAAACAGG
rnacentral:lncRNA from 1 species